AAGCACUGAGACAGGUGCCAUCCAAGAAAUUUUAAGCUUUAAACCCAAACUUUGGAAAUAACAUCUUUCUGAAAUCAUAAGUGUGUAAAUAAUAUGUUAGAAAGGAAGGAAAAAUAACAGGAUUUAUUUGCAAUGUUUUACUGCUAGUGAUGUGGCAGAAACAAAAUACCUACAUUAAAUACAUGGUGUUCUUUGCCAGGCUGCAUCCAGCCUCUAAGCCCUUCAGGCCCAGCCAUUCAGGCAGGGUUUGCAGAUUUUCCACUGGAUUACUGAAAAUGAUGCUAACAUGAGUAUCCUUCAGCUCACAGAGCUCUAAUUUAAAUGCAUAUCCUAUUACAAUGGAACAGCAAGUUUCUAGAUCUCGACCAUGUUGGCAUUUGCUCCAGAGAAAGACAGAACAAAAUGGUCCACAAAGGUCCCAUUCAUGUUAAACUGGCUUCUGCUAAAACCACAAGUGGCUUGUUAGUCAUCGAGUUAUGCAGCGGGAAGCACACAGUCCGUGAGCUUAGGCUGCACCAGUGUGUGUCAGGACCACACCGUUAAAUCUUCAACUAGGUGCUCUAGAAGCCUCAGCUAAUCUAGCCAACUUAAUAAAAUUAAAUAAGAUAAAAAGCUAAAAUUAGUUACAGUAGCAGAACAGGUCUUGAACACAGUUGCUGCUUAGAUGAAGAUGUCACGUUUCACAUGUACACAUCUCGGGUUAAAUUUUUCUCCAAAGCAUGUGCACAGAGGGCUACACGUUAACAACCAGUCCCAGUUACGCCUAACGCGAUUUGUGCACCCUGCUUUGAAAAUGUAGCCCUUUAGGCUGCUGUACAGUUAGCAUACCAAGCAGCUGCUGCAAACGGCCAGGAAGACUGAAUAUGCAAUUAAAUAGCUACAUUUUCUGAAUCAAUAAGAAUUGAUUGAAAAAUAAACACUUGAGCUUAAUCUAUUACUGUCGUAUAAAAUUAGACUUCUUCCUAAGUGGCAUUAUCAAAUUUGGCCUGACCUCUUCUGUUUAUGUGGACGUGUCUUUCAAAGGAAGGAAAAUCUGCAAACUUUAUCCUCCAGAGUAGAACAAUAACAAAAAUUCCAUCAUUUGACUGAAUUCAGGUCUGUAUUACUAAGCACAUUUCAUCCAUUUGUGGAUUUCAAUUAAUUGUGAGCCACAACACUGUUUCAUCAGGAAUAGCAUAUUAUGUCUACAGCCUGAUCGAGCCAAGAACCCGCUGCUGUCUGAAAUUUGUAUAGCUCAUAGGCUAUUUAUACGAUGUUCAAGCCUAUCCUACAGAACCAACGGGUAUGUAACCAUUAGCAAAACAAAUCACUAUAAUUUUGCUUGAAACAAUAUCAAAUACACAUUGCAAGGGGAAAAGACCUCCUAGAUUCACUUAAAUAGACAGCAAUUUCUUUAUGAAAUUGAGAAGUGCUCUAUGAAUUGUGCUCUUAACUAAAUCAAAACAUCGAAAGCACAGCCUGGUAUCUUUGAGGUGUCAGAAAAGUUACCACAGGGAUAACUGGCUUGUGGCGGCCAAGCGUUCAUAGCGACGUCGCACUUUGAUCCACCAACAUCAUCUCUUCCUACCAUCAUGAAGCAGAAUUCACCAAGCGUUGGAUUGUUCACCCGCUAAUAGGGAAGGUGAGCUGGGUUAGACCAUUGUGAAACAGGUUAGUUUUACCCUACUGAUGUUGUGUUGUUGCAAUAGCAAUCCUUGCAAUGGGGGCAGGGAAUCAAACAUCUUUUCCUUCUUCAAGAGUUACCAAAAAUGCUCUAAUUGCACUAUAUGCCCAAAUAGUUUUCUUUCAUCUAUGUGUAUAGAAUAAAAGGGGAAAUGAUAGUGAAUAAAACAGUGUCUGGCUCAGGGGCAGUAGAGCGCGU
rnacentral:ncRNA from 1 species